UGCCACUCCGCCGUUCCAACCGCCAAGCAAACCGUAAGGGAGACUCGUCGAGAAAAGCCACCGACAAAGGUAAUCGGGAAUCUUCUCGUGUUGUUAUGUGAUUGUGUUAUUUGAUUAUUAAACCAUGAUCUAAAUUAAACCAGUUAAAACCAAUGAAUCGUUUGUUUAGUUAGAAGUUACGUGAAAUUGUGUCGUGAGGAAGAAGAAGUUGACUUCAUUCAUUGGUUUAGUUGUUAGAGUACCGGUUAAUUGCCAAACCGGAAGCUAUCAUUCACGUGAAUGCAUGGAUCCAAUUAUGGACGUAGUGUUACGUGUAGUGAAUGAAUCAAUAUUUAAUUACUAGAUUUGGUUGAAUUAUUUUAUUAAAUUAAGUCUAGUUAAUUUAUUGAAGGAUAUAUAGUUUGGGUUGAUUAUGAAAUUAAUUAUAGAUUAUUAAUGAAAAAUAAUCUUUGAUCGAUUAUUUAAACCGUCGCAGAUUGAGAUCGUUAUUGGACCUUUUCUUGUUGCUGUUAUUUCGAAACCGUGUUAGACAUUGGGUGUUGAUUGUUAAUUAUUAUGAAUUAAUUGUUAAAACAUUAUAAGAUGUGUUGUGUGAUGUUAUGCGUUAGGUGUUAGCGUGAUAUACAUGUUGAUUUGCUUGACGUCUUUAAGACGUAUUUUUAAAUAAAUAUAUAAAGAUAAAUAAAAGAGAAUAAUGAUAUUAAAGAAAGGAUAAGAUUGAGGAUCUUGGACUGUAAUGGAACCGACGGGUUCAUUACAGGUCAUUAAUCGCUGACGAGCAAUGAGAGGAAGGAUCGAGCUACGGGCCGUGGUCUUCCAUAAAUAGGCUUGAGGAGCCAUAACUUAACGUACGUUAAAAACUAAGAAAAGAAAGUAAAAGAUCUUGCGGUGAGCAAGACGAAAGCUUGUCUGUUAUAGCUUACUACGAAAGUUUAAGCUAUUUGCUUGUUGUUUGAGUCUAUGCUUAUGAAAUGGAAAUUGUGUGAAAGUAUAAUCGUGUUAUUGUGAUUCGGUGGACAGUUUUGACUGCCUUCACUGAGUAAUUAAUUACUCACCCCCUUUUCUUUUCCUUCAGGUGAGGAAGAGAAUGUUGAGUAGCUGCUCGCUUGGUGUUAUUUCGGGACUUUGGGUUUUAUUUGAUUUAUCGAUAUUUCUUAUAUUUCUAAACACGGUUUCUUUAUACAUUUUUAUCCAACGAUUUUAAUUUAUUUAUGCUAUUAUUUUGAGACAA
rnacentral:lncRNA from 1 species